GACAGAGGAUGCAAGCGUUAUCCGGAAUGAUUGGGCGUAAAGCGUCUGUAGGUGGCUUUUUAAGUCCGCCGUCAAAUCCCAGGGCUCAACCCUGGACAGGCGGUGGAAACUACCAAGCUGGAGUACGGUAGGGCAGAGGGAAUUUCCGGUGGAGCGGUGAAAUGCGUAGAGAUCGGAAAGAACACCGAUGGCGAAGGCACUUUACUGG
rnacentral:rRNA from 1 species